ensembl:lncRNA
ACGGUUACUGCUGGUCACUCCUGGUCACUCGUGGUCACUCAUGGUCACUCUUGGUCACUGCUGGUCACUCACAGUCACUCUUGGUGACCAGUGGUCACUUCUGGUCACCAGUGGUCACUCCUGGUCACUCCUGGUGACCAGUGGUCACUCCUGGUCACUCCUGGUGACCGCUGGUUGCUCACGGUUACUGCUGGUCACCACUGGUCACUCUUGGUGACCAGUGGUCACUCCUGGUCACUCGUGGUCCUUCCCCCAGGCCACAACGCCGACGACGUGGCCGAGACGGUUCUGAUGAAUUUCCUGCGCGGCGACGUCGCCCGGCUGCGGCGCGCGGCCAACGAGGCCUGGGGGGCCACCGGCGGGCCCUGGUGGGCCACCAACGCGGCCAUGGUGGCCACCAACGCUGAUGGACCCACCGUGGCCACCAACGGACCUCCUGUGGCCACCGACGCGGCCAUGGUGGCCACCAACGCUGAUGGACCCACCAUGGCCACCAACGGACCUCCUGUGGCCACUGACGCGGCCAUGGUGGCCACCAACGCUGAUGGACCCACCGUGGCCACCAAUGGACCUCCUGUGGUCACCAACAUGGCCACGGUGGCCACCAACGCUGAUGGACCCACCGUGGUCACCAAUGGACCCACCGUGGCCACCAACGAGGUCUCAGGGACCACCAAUGGCACUGUGGCCACCAACGAGGUCAAUGUGGCCACCAACGGCACCAUGGCCACCGAUGAGGUCACCAUGGCCACUCAUGAGGUCACUGUGGCCACCAAGGCGGUCAAUGUGGCCAAUGACAACAAUGAGGCCACCGUGGCCACCAACGAGGACUCGGGGGCCACCAAGGAGGUCACCGUGGCCACCAACGGCGCCGUGGCCACCGAUGAGGCCACUGUGGGCACCAAUGAGAGCUCAACAGAACCCAAUGAGAAGCAAACGAAACCCAACGAGAACUCAACGGAACCCAACGAGAACUCAACGGAACCCAACGGGAACCCAAUGGAACCCAAUGAGAACUCAACGGAACCCAACGAGAACCCAAUGGAACCCAAUGAGAACUCAACAAAACCCAACGAAAACCCAAUGGAACCCAACAAGAACUCAAGAGAACCCAAUGAGAACUCAACAAAACCCAACAAAAACCCAAAACCCAAUGAAAACCCAAUGGAACCCAACAAGAACUCAAGAGAACCCAACAAAAACUCAACAGAACCCAAUGAGAACCCAACAGAACCCAAUGGGAACUCAACAAAACCCAAUGAGAACCCAACAGAACCCAAUGAGAACCCAAAACCCAACAAAAACCCAAUGGAACCCAACAAGAACUCAAGAGAACCCAAUGAGAACUCAACAAAACCCAACGAGAACCCAACGAAACCCCUUAAAACCUUGACAAAGCCCAACGAGAACCCAACGAAACCCAACGAGAACCCAAAACCCAACGAGAACCCAACAAAAUCCAACGAGAACCCAACGAAACCCCUUAAAACCUUGACAAAGCCCAACGAGAACUCAACAAAACCCAACGAGAACCCAACGAAAUCCAACGAGAACCCAACGAAACCCAACGAGAACCCAACGAAACCCAACGAGAACCCAACGAAACCCAACAAAACCUCCAGAAAACCCACCAAGAACCCAAGGAAACCCACCAAGACCCCCUCGGAACCCCCCGAGGCGGCCGCGCCGUGGCCGGCGGUGCCGCGGCUGAAGCCGCUGCGGCACGCGGCGCAGAAGGAGAUCGUCCUCUACGCCCACUUCCUGGGGCUGCCCUACGCCAGCGCCGAGUGCCGGCACGCGCCGCUGGCCUUCCGCGGCCACCCGCGGGCGCUGCUGAAGGAGCUGGAG